GGGCUCGUAGCUCAGCUUGGUUAGAGCGCACGCCUGAUAAGCGUGAGGUCGGUGGUUCAAAUCCACCCGGGCCCA
rnacentral:tRNA from 1 species